GACGAACGCUGGCGGCGUGCUUAACACAUGCAAGUCGAACGGAAAGGCCCUGCUUUUGUGGGGUGCUCGAGUGGCGAACGGGUGAGUAACACGUGAGUAACCUGCCCUUGACUUUGGGAUAGCUUCAGGAAACUGGGGCUAAUACCGGAUAGGAGCUCCUGCUGCAUGGUGGGGGUUGGAAAGUUUCGGCGGUUGGGGAUGGACUCGCGGCUUAUCAGCUUGUUGGUGGGGUAGUGGCUUACCAAGGCUUUGACGGGUAGCCGGCCUGAGAGGGUGACCGGCCACAUUGGGACUGAGAUACGGCCCAGACUCCUACGGGAGGCAGCAGUGGGGAAUAUUGCACAAUGGGCGGAAGCCUGAUGCAGCAACGCCGCGUGCGGGAUGACGGCCUUCGGGUUGUAAACCGCUUUCGCCUGUGACGAAGCGUGAGUGACGGUAAUGGGUAAAGAAGCACCGGCUAACUACGUGCCAGCAGCCGCGGUGAUACGUAGGGUGCGAGCGUUGUCCGGAUUUAUUGGGCGUAAAGGGCUCGUAGGUGGUUGAUCGCGUCGGAAGUGUAAUCUUGGGGCUUAACCCUGAGCGUGCUUUCGAUACGGGUUGACUUGAGGAAAGGUAGGGGAGAAUGGAAUUCCUGGUGGAGCGGUGGAAUGCGCAGAUAUCAGGAGGAACACCAGUGGCGAAGGCGGUUCUCUGGGCCUUUCCUGACGCUGAGGAGCGAAAGCGUGGGGAGCGAACAGGCUUAGAUACCCUGGUAGUCCACGCUGUAAACGGUGGGUACUAGGUGUGGGGUCCAUUCCACGGGUUCCGUGCCGUAGCUAACGCUUUAAGUACCCCGCCUGGGGAGUACGGCCGCAAGGCUAAAACUCAAAGGAAUUGACGGGGCCCCGCACAAGCGGCGGAGCAUGCGGAUUAAUUCGAUGCAACGCGUAGAACCUUACCUGGGUUUGACAUGGAUCGGGAGCGCUCAGAGAUGGGUGUGCCUCUUUUGGGGUCGGUUCACAGGUGGUGCAUGGCUGUCGUCAGCUCGUGUCGUGAGAUGUUGGGUUAAGUCCCGCAACGAGCGCAACCCUUGUUCACUGUUGCCAGCACGUUAUGGUGGGGACUCAGUGGAGACCGCCGGGGUCAACUCGGAGGAAGGUGGGGAUGACGUCAAGUCAUCAUGCCCCUUAUGUCCAGGGCUUCACGCAUGCUACAAUGGCUGGUACAGAGAGUGGCGAGCCUGUGAGGGUGAGCGAAUCUCGGAAAGCCGGUCUCAGUUCGGAUUGGGGUCUGCAACUCGACCUCAUGAAGUCGGAGUCGCUAGUAAUCGCAGAUCAGCAACGCUGCGGUGAAUACGUUCCCGGG
rnacentral:rRNA from 1 species